UGUAAAGUCAUCAUCGCAAUAGCCUUAGAUGAUAACAGCCUACAGGUCAUGUUGCAAUUGGUGGCUUUCUUGCAUCCAGCUCAUCCUAUCCAUGAAGGUUUCCUAGCUUCCAUUCCAGCGGGUAGGAGGGUCUCCUUAGCCUUUAUCUUUCCAUCUCAAUUAGCACUUUAUGUUGCCCUACAGUCUGGUUCCCGUCUUAUUUUUGAGCGUUAGAGCCGGCUCUGUAAUCGUCUGUGUCUAGAGGCUUCUUUUUCCUGCACUGCCAAGGGUGAGCAUAGGAAAACCUGGGCUCAGAUGGUUGUUCUCAGCAGAAGCGCUGCCGUGGGAGAGGCCUGGUGCAGCCAGCAGUUUCGGUCUUUGCAUUCGGCAGGAUGUCUUUGUUGGAAUAGGUCCUAACGGUGACUCUUUCAGAUGUACCCUUGAUAAAUUAGGCACUUCAUGGGCAGAAACAUCUAGAAAGCAGUUUGUGUUCUCGCUGCCAAGUGCAAACAUCCUGAGAGAAGCCCUGGGGGACACAGACGACCAGCCCUGGCAUUCCUCAUUGAACUCCACUUUACAGCAACAGAACGAGGGCGCAGACAGCGUUUGCAGGGUGAACACCCUGAGUCUACGACACAGUGUGGUCCAAACCUUGAUGGUCUCCAGGUUUACUCUGCAAACCAGUCACCUGCGGGCCCAGCUGAAAUGCUGGUUUCAGUGGCUUCGGGGUGGAGCCUGAGACCUACAUUUCUGACGGGCUCCCAGGCCACACCAGGCCUGCUGCUCCUCAGACUUCACCUCCAUCUUGCCUCCCACAGCGCCUUCUGCAUACACUCAGUUCAAUUCAGUUGCUCAAUCGUGUCCAAUUCUUUGCAACCCCAUGGACUGCAGCACGUCAGGCCUCCCUGUCUAUCACCAACUCCCGGAGUUUACUCAAACUCAUGUCCAUCGGGUCAGUGAUGCCAUCCAAUCAUCUCAUCCUCUGUCGUCCCCUUCUCCUCCUCUCACCUUCAAUCUUUCCCAGCAUUAGGGUCCUUUCCAAUAAGUCAUUUCUUCACAUCAGGUAGCUAAAGGAUUGGAGUUUCAGCUUCAGCAUCAGUCCUUCCAAUGAACAUUAAGGACUGAUUUCCUUUAGGAUGGACUGAUUGGAUCUCCUUGCAGUCCAAGUGACUGUCAGGAGUCUUUUCUAACACCACAGUUCAACUGCAUCAGUUCUUCAGUGCUCAGCUUUCUUUAUAGUCCACCUCUCACCUCUGUACAUGACUACUGGAAAAACCAUAGCUUUGACUAGAUGGACCUUUGUUGGCAAAGUAAUGUCUCUGCUUUUUAACAUGAUGUCUAGGUUGGUCAUAGCUUUUCUCCCAAGGAGCAAGCGUCUUUUAAUGUCACGGCUGCAGUCACCAUCUGCAGUGAUUUCGGAUCCCAAAAAAGUAAAGUUUCUCACUGUUUCUGCAUACACUACUAUAACAUUAAUUAUAUGCUUCUGGUCUCACGGAGCUGUGAGACACCUGAGAGUGGAUUCCAUUUCGUGUGCAUCUUUCUAGCUCUAGCUCUUGGGACACAGUCGGAGCGCAGUGUUUAUUCAAUUACAUUUGAAUUUGUGAUGCUAGAUGGACUUCCUUAUGUGAAUGGCUGGUUCACUCAGAGCACUCCUGACCCCCACUCCCAUGACAAGGGGGCCACAACAGCACAGGUCAGUGUGACCACACACGGACGGCCAGCUCAGCCUCAAGAGACAGCUCGAGUCUGCUGUCUCUCAGCAUGCACACACGAGGCACACGAGGUUGUACCCACACCCCGAGACCAAGCUCGAGUCAGGAACCAGAGACUCGGCUCUGUGUGCCGAUGACUCGACUCUUCCUCACCCACUCCUGAUGGUGACCGAGGGCCAUUCUCUCUCCUCUGCCUUAUGUCACUUCUUCCUUUUCCACAUCACGGCGUGGCUGUGGCCUACUCCCACACCUGCAUCUUCCUCUGUGACUUUGUGGAGGGAGCGCUGGCUGGACCACAGAGAAUGUCCGUGUUUCCUGGUUCCUGAGCAAAUACCAUCACAAGCUCCCCAAGUUCGUGACCACCCCUGUCAUGUGGAAACAAGCUUUGCCUGAGACAACUUCGUAUAUUCAGACAACUAGGUCUCAUCCAUGAGAGGUCAACAUUCACUUUGGAAAAAAAAACUUCUGAAACACUGAAAUAAGGACUUCCCUGGUGGUCCAGUGGUAAGGAAUCUGUCUUCCAACGCGGGGAACACCACUUCCAUCCCUGGUCGGGGAACUAAGACCCCACACGCCACGGGGCAAUCAAGCCUGCUCACCGCAACUGGAGAAGCCUACAUGACAGAGUGAAGAAGCAGCCCAGCCAAAUAAAUAAACAAAAUAAUUUAAAACACUGAAAUGAAGUUGGUUGCUGUACAGCAUGUGGGAUCUUAGUUCCCCAACCAGGGAUCGAAUUCAUGCUUCCUUCAGUGAAAUCGCCGAGUCUUAACCACUGGACCACCAGGGAGUCCUUGCAGUAACUCACGAGACAGCAUCGCUUUCCUAAACGCAAGAAGCAGAUUACAUGUUGUGCUGUGGCAAACAGGUGGGGCCACAGCAAACCAUCUGCAGAGGGCCAGGUAGCAGGCGUGUCGGGUUUUGUGGGCACAUGGUCUGUCUCAGCUGCAGCCCCUCAGCUCUGCCCCCGCCGUGCCAAGGCGGCGGCUGCGGGCACCAUGCACGUGAAUGGGUGUGUGCAUGUUCCCAUGAGACUUUACUGAUGGACGCUGGAAGGCCCGUCACUGUCGCAGGUCACAAAACAGGCUUCUUCUUUUGACUCCAGCAUUAAAAACAUAAAAGCCGCUCUCGGCUCGUAGACACCCAGGUGUGGGCCAAAGUGACGCGCCUGUGGGCCGCGGUUUGCCAACCUGGGUCUAGCACAGAGGCUCUCGGAAUCAGGAAGGACCUUGAGAGAGCUCUGAGAUGUUUAAUUGCUUCUCCUCUCGAGAGAGUAAAGAAUCAAAUCCCUCCCGAAGGCGACAGUCCACCGUGCCCUGCUAAGAUGAGACCCCAGAUACUCUGACUCCUAGUGCAGUGCACUUCCUACCAGAAGCCACUGCUUAAAAUAAAGACAAAUAGGAGACCAAUUAAAGAGAUAACUGUAACAACUGCUCAGCACAGCGCCCGGAGAUGAGAACGCCCAGUGCCGGCCGUGCGGCCGCCGCGGCCCCUGCAGACAGCGCCUGGCACGCGUUCAGAGAGCUUGAGAAACAUAACUGGUUGAGCAGAAAUCGUUCCAAGAAAUAGCACCG
ensembl:lncRNA